GGCUGAGUCCCGUACAAUAGCGGCCUUGUGAACCCCGCCAGGUCCGGAAGGAAGCAACGGUAGCAGGAACCCUAUGUGCUACGGGGUGCUCGGCCACU
rnacentral:SRP_RNA from 1 species